rnacentral:rRNA from 1 species
AUUGAACGCUGGCGGCAGGCUUAACACAUGCAAGUCGAGCGGAGAGAGGUAGCUUGCUACCGAUCUUAGCGGCGGACGGGUGAGUAAUGCUUAGGAAUCUGCCUAUUAGUGGGGGACAACAUUUCGAAAGGAAUGCUAAUACCGCAUUCGUCCUACGGGAGAAAGCAGGGGAUCUUCGGACCUUGCGCUAAUAGAUGAGCCUAAGUCGGAUUAGCUAGUUGGUGGGGUAAAGGCCUACCAAGGCGACGAUCUGUAGCGGGUCUGAGAGGAUGAUCGGCCACACUGGGACUGGGACCCGGCCCAGACUCCUACGGGAGGCAGCAGUGGGGAAUAUUGGACAAUGGGCGCAAGCCUGAUCCAGCCAUGCCGCGUGCGUGAAGAAGGCCUUAUGGUUGUAAAGCACUUUAAGCGAGGAGGAGGCUACUUUAGUUAAUACCUAGAGAUAGUGGACGUUACUCGCAGAAUAAGCACCGGCUAACUCUGUGCCAGCCGCCGCCGUAACAC